UACGUAGGGUGCAAGCGUUGUCCGGAAUUACUGGGCGUAAAGCGUGCGUAGACGGUAGCGUAAGUCGGGUGUGAAAGCCCCGGGCUCAACCUGGGAAUUGCAUUCGAGACUGCUCUGCUAGGGUGCGGAAGAGGGAAGCGGAAUUUCCGGUGUAGCGGUGAAAUGCGUAGAUAUCGGAAGGAACACCAGUGGCGAAAGCGGCUUCCUGGUCCAGCACCGACGUCAGGCACGAAAGCGUGGGGAGCAAACAGG
rnacentral:rRNA from 1 species